GACGAACGCUGGCGGCGUGCCUAAUACAUGCAAGUUGAGCGAUGAAGAUUGGUGCUUGCACCAAUUUGAAGAGCAGCGAACGGGUGAGUAACGCGUGGGGAAUCUGCCUUUGAGCGGGGGACAACAUUUGGAAACGAAUGCUAAUACCGCAUAACAACUUUAAACAUAAGUUUUAAGUUUGAAAGAUGCAAUUGCAUCACUCAAAGAUGAUCCCGCGUUGUAUUAGCUAGUUGGUGAGGUAAAGGCUCACCAAGGCGAUGAUACAUAGCCGACCUGAGAGGGUGAUCGGCCACAUUGGGACUGAGACACGGCCCAAACUCCUACGGGAGGCAGCAGUAGGGAAUCUUCGGCAAUGGACGAAAGUCUGACCGAGCAACGCCGCGUGAGUGAAGAAGGUUUUCGGAUCGUAAAACUCUGUUGGUAGAGAAGAACGUUGGAGAGAGUGGAAAGCUCAUCAAGUGACGGUAACUACCCAGAAAGGGACGGCUAACUACGUG
rnacentral:rRNA from 1 species